rnacentral:misc_RNA from 1 species
CAGGGGAGAUGGAUACAACAGUCACCGAUUUGACCGAAGAAGAAAUUGAUGCAUUUACACUACGAGAAGCAAUUAAAACAGCCAAUAGUAAAAGCAUAUCAAUAGACGGAUUGAAAAAACUGAAGGAGAUUUUAUGCAAACUGAAAUCAAAUUUAGUGAAGGAUAGACGAAAACGAGAAGAGGUUAUUGCAUCUUUGGAUUCUGUGGCUGCAGAAAAUCAUGAAUUGAGGAAGGAGCUACACAGUGUGUAUAAAGAGGUGAUUGAAUUGUUGCAAGAUGUGGAGCGUAAUGACGAAAACAACCCUCUCACGGAGCUGCUACAUCUACACUAUGAAAACUUCUUUGAUACGCUCCAGAAGGAGAAGGGCACACUAUCAGGAAAUACAUCCAGGUGCCCCAUCUUAGUUUUAGGAGAGACUGGGGCAGGGAAGAGUUCCUUCAUCAACUUGUUGCUAGGUGAGGAGGCCCUGCCUACACAGGUCCUUAGCAACACCAAUGUCAUCUGUGAGAUACAGUACAGCGACAGCUAUUGGGCCAUCCUGUAUACCGCUGGGGAUGAACAGAAAAGGAUUGGAGAUGUAGACAAGUCAAACUUCUUCAAGACCCUGGCCGAACACAUACAGAAGUCGAGUGGAUCUGAGACGGGCAACACUAUAAAGUAUCAGAGAGCUCAAAUUUAUCUCCCCUGUGAUAUUUUAAAGACAGGGUUGGUGAUUGUGGACAGUCCUGGGAUCGGAGACACACCAGAGAUGACCCAAAUGGUUCUAGAUUAUAUUAUUGAAGCCAGUUCCUUCAUCUACAUCAUCAACAGUGCUAAUGCAGGCGGGGUCCAGGAGGAAAGGGUACAAGAUCUGGUGGGCAAGGUUGUGAGGAAAGCCUUCAGGGACCAGCAGGACUACAGACCAGAGUGUGCCCUGUUUGUAUGUAACAAGUGGGACCGGGUUCCAAUAGCUGAGAGGAAGGAAAUUUAUGAAGACACCGUGAAAAAGCUGACUUGCAAAACUGGGUGGCCAGACUGUCAGGAAUCACAGAUAUUCUGUUUUUCUACUUUGGAGGCCAGUUACGUACAAAAGGAACCUCCCCACAAUGUCUACGGCCAGUUUUCCCGUCUCCUGGAGGAGAUUCACAGACUCAUUCCAAAAAGUAGAGAGAUUUAUCUGGUCAAUUCAACAAGAUUUCUGUUGACAUUCCUGGACAAAUGCUUAUUUAGCAUUGACACCAGACUUCCAAAAGAUGGCAUGACUGAGGAAGACAGAAAGAAAGAUAUUGAGACGCACAAAGCCAAGUUUAUGGAAAUUAAAGAAGAAAUCAAAACGUUCUUUAAAGAGCAAAAGAAACAACUAAAGCAAAAAAUUGUUGAAAUUGCAGAGGACCUUAGCAAAUUCUUGAGUAAGAAAGAAAUCAUUGGAGAAAUAUGUGAUGUUUCAAAAUAUGACAAGGCUAUUAAAGCUAGCACAUGGAAAGAUGCCAUGGUUUGGACCCGAGCAGAAUUGUAUACUCAAAUUACCAGUCAAAUUCAGAACUGGGAAAAAAAGCACGGUCUCCUGGAUAAAGCCAGUAAACAGAUAGGAGAUGAAUUCCGCAACAACUUCCCAAAUUUUGGUGCUCGAAUAUCUCAGACUGAGAAAAAAUUUCGAGAUGGUGCUAACAGAACGCUGUUAGCCAGGGCGGAUGAACCGUUUAUCCCCCUUUCAGUUGCCCGUCGAUUUGAGACCUUAGACAUGGGAUUCAAGGUGCUUGUAGGUGUAGGAAUGGCCCCCUUGUUUCUGCUUGGCGCCCUCUUCCGUCUUCCAAUAUUUGGAUUUCUGGAACUGAAGCGUAAAAUAACACAACUAACCUUGCAGUCAACGUUUGAUAGUAAUGACAAGAUGCAGCAAAGGAGUGCAGUAAGACAGUACGCAGAGAGUGUGCUGAUGUCCGUCAUCAGCCCAUUCAACCUAGCGCCACUCAUGAUCAAAGAGGUUCAGCCUCUCUUUAGAUACGUGAAAACCCAGCGGGUCAACCUGACCAAUGAAGUGGAUGCUGACUUGAAGGUGAUUGAGGAGGCAGAAAAAGACAAGAAGGAAGCAGAUGCAUUCAAGAUCAAAUUUGCACCUAUACGAGGAAAAUUCCGGAAAACUGAAGGACGAGCAAGCUACUUUUUAUAUAUGCAUAUGAACAAACCACAUGUCAAGGACUGCAUCCCUGAGUCAGACUUGAAGGAAACCUCUAAUAUAUCAGAAGGUUGUCUGUCUUACAUCAUGCAGGCCGAGGUUAGGGACAGCAAAGUGACAAAGGACUUUACGACAGUAGCUGUACGUCACAGUAAGAUACCUGUGGAUGCCAGCAACAUAAAACAGAUACUAGAGGAUGAUAAGUCGUACAGGUAUAAUACUCUGGUUCAGACGUUGGGGUGUGUGAAGACGUCCACGGAGAUCUGGCAAGUGAUGCAGCCCCUCACCUGCAACCUUCGAAAGCACUUAUUGAGGGCCGUGUCGUCCCUGGAGAAACCUCGUCUCCUUACCCGUCUGGCUUCAGAUGUGGUAGAAGGCCUACGUUACCUCCAUCAGAGAGGCUACGUACAUAUGGACCUGUCUCUAGACACUGUCAUGGUGGAUGUACAUGGUCGUGUGAAGCUGGUAAACUUGACGAUGCCUAGGAAACUGCCCGCCACGCUAUUCCCUUCUGAGGGCGUCCCUGUGCUUAAGUAUGUUCACUUCGAUGGACAGCUGAUGUAUCAACCGGACAAGACUGUAUAUACCAUCCAACACGACAUGUACUCCGUGGGGAUCAUGAUGUACGAAAUGUGGACUGGCCAUCACGCCUUCCAGGACAAGUUUGAAAGCCGCCUUUUUAAUCAACUCGGUCAGCUGAUUAGUGUUCUGAAGGAGAGAAAUUUUGAUGCAUUCCAGCUUCUCAGGAAGGAGCAGAGCUUGGCAAGGGAACAAUUGUGGCUGGACACCAUUGAAAGGUGUCUGUAUGGAAAAGUGAGAGAGCCAGAGGACUGGUUCAAAUGUAUGUACGAACCGACAGGUAUGACUUCCUCUGGAGAAAUUACAAGCCCAAUGAUUUUUUCAUAUAUUCGCUAAGUCUUCCUUAUUGAGACGUAUGGACUGACCUGUUGGAUUUGACUAGAUAUUUUGUGGCAAUAACAUCAGAACAUAUUGGCAGUUAUAGGUAUUAAAUUAUGUAGAACACAUUUUAUUAUACCUGUUUUUAGUAUAAUUCUACAGUUAAUAUAAUAAUCAAUAGCAAAAAUGUUCCCUGUGUGUUUAAUUAUGUAUUGAAGAAUUUAAAAGUAAAGGUUGGUUUGAGUUCAUUUGAUUUAGUAUCCUAUUAACAGAGGUUAUUUAACCCUUUCACCACUGUAGACCAUUAUGGACUCAUACCAUAUCAACCCAUGGUAGAGUCUACUAAAUUACAUAGGGGUGAAAGGGCGAAGGAUUUGCCUCUGUUUGUAAUAUAUGCAUGCAUGUAUGAUUGAGAUUGUUAUGUUGGUGUAUUUGGCUCUUUAUGAUAGGGGGGCGGGGGGGAUCUGAUGCUGACUUUAAGAGUGCUACCUCAGUGAAAUACUGUGCUGAAGGCACCUAGGCACAUUAUUCCUACCUGUCACAUUAUCAUGACAACAGUUUAACCUGUUUUUGCCCGAAAGGCUAAUUCUAAUUCAUUUGAGAUGUGACACAACAUUUGGCUGCGCAGUAUAACCACGAUAUACCAUAUGCAAAUUUCUCAUUUGCAUAUGAAGCCUGGAUGGUGUUGAUGAUGUCAAUGACCCUGAUUGACCCUGAGUAUUCUUGAUGUCACCAAUCUGCAACAGAGUGACCUAUUAUUUGAAGAAAACACCCAAAAAUAUCUUAAAAAUAUUGUUUCUUUUGAUGGUUUUGGCUUCUAUGAAUUAGAAUGGGGAUAAUCCUAGUGUAUGUCUCGCCCUGAGGACAGAACCUAAUGUCUUCCUCACUGUGGCGAAUUUUGAACACUAAGGCCAAAAGUGAGGUAUUUCCAAGCAAGGUGCUGGUAAAUAAAAGGGUUGUUACGAAGUAGAGAUCCCAAAUGCUGCCAUGUGAUUUGUUUUAUAGCAUUUGUAUCCCAGCCUAAUUAGCCUGAACAAACCAUGAUAAUGCUUGUCUGAACUAAAACCACUGAACAAACCAUGAUAAUGCUUGUCUGAACUAAAACCACUGACAAACUAUGAUAAUGCUUGUCUGAACUAAAACCACUGAACAAACCAUGAUAAUGCUUGUCUGAACUAAAACCACUGAACAAACCAUGAUAAUGCUUUCCUGAACUAAAAUUAUCCUAAUCCCUACUACCAAACAAUAAAUUGCAAUGCAUUUUUUAAUUAAAUUAAACUGAUCAAAUGCAUGAGUAGGUACUCUCACUGGAAACAUUGACUUACAAAUUAUUAACGUGUCUUUUUAUUCUAGACAUGUAUGUGUUGUCAUGAUCAAGGUCAGGGCCAGGGGUCAGAGGUCAAAUCAUUACACUCCUUUUUGGGACAAGGACUUUCAACCAACUGAAUAAUUGAUUUAUUUGGAUAAAUAGUAUGAUUGUUGCCAGUGUAUUAUUUACUGUAGAUAUCCUCUAUUGGUUUUAGCAGAGCCAUAAAAGCUUACACUAUAUGGUGUCAGGAUUUAGUAACAUUUUGUGGAAACACUAUAGAAAACAGACAUUGUGAUGAUCGAUUUCAUAUUUUGUAGACAGUUGCUAUUAUAUAUAAGUAUUGAAUUGAUAAAAUUGAAUGAAAACAGCAUUUAUUUUUUAUUUUUAAUGAACUAAAAUUAAUUGUAUACCUUUAUUGUUUGUAGGGUAGUUCAUUCUUGGUAAAAUGUCUGGCUGACUUCUCCACUUUGAGCCAAAAAGUGUGAUAUAUGAAAACAAAAAGUCAUUACUAGUUAUUGGUUGAACAACUUGAAAGCAUGCAGAACAAGUUCGCCGCGAACAUGCUAUGUUACAAAAGUUUUUCAGGAAAAAACACAAUUUUCCACAGGAAAAAUUAAAUAGGUGGAAGCUGAUUUCUACCUUACCUGCUGUCAUGCCCCAUCGUGACAUAGAUAUAUACAUUACCCAUGUCUUUGUGUAUUAUAGAUAUUUUAGUAAUGUAGCUAGUGUAGUAAAUACCCCCGGUUACUAUUAGCAAAGGGUACUAUGAUUUCUUUUGUAUGUGUCUCCAUCAGCAAUUAUCAUGACUGCAGUGCUCAUUUUUGUUUUUAUCUUCAACAAACUUGAUGGGAGUGUGUGUUUUAGAGCAGUACUUACCCCAAAGAUCAAGGUCCCUGUUACUAUAGAUAAAAUAUUUGGAUCAUUGAUCUAGAAGGCUCAUAUAUGAACGCAAAGGCAUGAGUAUUUUAACCCAUUAAGUUCUCCAAAGAUUAAGGUCAUUGUCAAUAUUGCAUUCAGUAAAACCAGAAAAUCAGAAAAUUUCGAAAUAAUAAUCAAGAUUUCGAUGAUUUUGUUGGGAAAUAUUGCUCUAUUCUGAUCAGUACUUGAGGAAUUAGUUCCAAUUUGAUUUUUAAUAUCUCGUUUAUUUUUGAGGGAGUUAUGCCCCUUUUCAGAUAGUUUUCAUCAGAGCAGUGAGUAUAAGAUAACCUUUGGCUUACAAUUCACUUUGACAGUAGCUUCAACAAUUUGUAAAGACAGCAGGCCUUUUUUUAUGGAAAACUUUCUUUACAUGUAUGCCUAUGAACGACUUACAAAGCAAGCGAUGCAUUUUCCUGAUAUUAAGUGUAUUAGUAGACCACCAUAAUGAGAAAACAGGCAUUUUUUGGACUUGUGUUCACUUCUUUUUAUCGAUAUGCCAAAUGUUUGAGUUUUUUGUGAUAAUUGUGUAUGUAGCUGACUUGCAUUUAAACGAAGUCGUGACUAUUAAACAAAUCUGAUUAUA